CCGAGUUAGGGUCUUCAGGCCCGACCUCCAACCCUAUGUUUAAAUUACCAUGUUGCUUUGGCGGGCCCGCCUAGAAAUAGGCCGCCGGGGACCUUGUGUCUCUGGCCCGCGCCCGUCAAUAGCCCCCACAAAUUCGUUUUACAACCGUGUCUGAAUAACAAACUUGAAAAUAAAUCA
rnacentral:misc_RNA from 2 species